AAUCAUCCCCAGGCAAAUAUGCAUGGUAAAAGUAGAAACUACAGUAACUGAAAAUAUGUUAUUGACAUGAAGACAUUUCAACAAGAAAUACAAAUUCUACCAACAACUUUUGAUGACAUAGAAAAACAACGAGGAGAAAUUUCAUUCCAUUUCCCAUCAAGUUGCAUAAACAAUUAGAAGUUAAAGAAAUGGACCAAUGAAACAGAGAUGAACUUCUGAAUUGGAUAGCAUAGUGAAUCACAACAACAGGAAAGAAACUGUGUUGGAAAAAUCACAUCUCAUUUUCCUAUAACUUGAUAGAGAACAGCUGGAAGAAAGCAAGAUCAAAUACCAACAAGAAAGAUUUACUAUUAUAUACUUCUAAACUUCUCUCACUCCGAAGUGUCAAUAAGAUGUUUAGAACAAAACUGGAGCUUUGAGUAUUUCUCGACAACAUAUAUUUAGAACAAACAAGAAAUCACACCAAACUAUAUACGACAUUAUGGUGACGCUGAUAGCAAAGAUUGGGUAUAACCAUAUGUCAUAAUGGAGCUUCUUAUAUUGUAUAGCUCUUCCAUUUUAGAUAUAUCAACUUAAUAGCUGAUCAAACAACCCAACAUUAUUUGCAUUUGUCCCAGUAUAAGCCCAGAACUUGCUCCUAAGAAAUUGUGCUGAAGGAACGAAUGUCCAAGCUAAUCUUCCUUUCAUACAAGAAGCGCAUGAAAUGACUAGCUGCUAAACAGCAUUGAUGAGACAAGAAAAUUUGAUAGGAUUUUCAAGACAGAUAAUGAAAUAAAUGAAAAACAAACCCUAAAGUAAAGGAUCGGUCAUGAAUUGAAUACAACAUAAAAAAAAAAACAAACCUGAGCAAAAUGAAGAUGAUAGUCUUCAAGUUGAUAGCAACACCAUAAGUAGAUUUUGAAAAAGAUAGCAUCCACCAAGCAUAGAAAUCUUUUACUGCCGUAGGAUUCAACAGAACAAAUAAGACUACUUAUGUAUGCUUCUUCAGUU
rnacentral:lncRNA from 1 species